CACACGAUGAACAGCCAUCUCCUCUAUGGCAUUGUACUUUGUGGUUCAGAGACGUUCCGGGGCCUGACCCUCAGUAUGAAGAAGAACUGUUUCAAUUGAUUGAAGUACGCCUCACCUUGACAGACAUAUACUGUGAUACAAAAGGUAACACUGUAGUGUUAGUUCAAUUACCCACAGAAGUGGCCAUACUGAAAGUAAAAGCCCAUGGAAGACGGAAUUCGGAAGAAACAUAUGGCAAUCAUAAAGCUGACCAAGCCGCCAAAGAUGCUGCAUGUCAAUCAAGGGAAGUGGACAGAAGAGUGUCCGGUGAGGAAAUUCCUAUUUUUCCCAUGCAAACCUUACCUACAGACCUCAAGUUUUUGAAAGAACAGCAAGCAGCUGUAAGUCCUGAAGAAAAGCAAAGCUGGAAACAGAAAGGAGCAACCUUGCAGGAUGGAGUAUAUACUAGCAAUCUCAAAUUUUGUCUACCUAAAUGUAUGUAUCCGGCUGUGGUACAGUGGGCCCACGGAGCAGCGCACUUGUCUAAGACACUCAUGAACUCUUUAAUUGCUAAAUAUUUUGAAGCACCAGGUAUUACCACUCUGACUAAAACCUACUGUAAGUCUUGUG